rnacentral:rRNA from 1 species
UACAGAGGGUGCGAGCGUUGUCCGGAAUCACUGGGCGUAAAGGGCGCGUAGGCGGCCUGAUAAGUCGGGGGUGAAAUCCUGUGGCUUAACCACAGGGCUGCCUCCGAGACUGUCGGGCUCGAGCACAGUAGAGGCAGGUGGAAUUCCCGGUGUAGCGGUGGAAUGCGUAGAGAUCGGGAGGAACAUCGGUGGCGAAGGCGGCCUGCUGGGCUGUUGCUGACGCUGAGGCGCGACAGCGUGGGGAGCAAACAGG